GGGAUAUCUUUUUUGAAGAGAGAGAAUCAGUUCACAUCAUUUUACUGUUUUGCAGCACUUUCGGUAAUAUUUAAACUUUUAAAUGAUCUUAUGCUAUAGAGAUGGGUGAGAGAAUAUUCCCCAUUCACAUUUAUGCAACUCAAGAUAUGUUACUAUUUGUAGCAUGCUAGAUACAAUGGGUAAUAUUGAGGUUGCCUACUAUAUUUUUUUUUCUACCUUGAUAUUAAGACAUAGUAUGGGAUAGUUUGAUUCCUGUUCUCUUUCUUCUUUUUGUCUAAGACAGCUCAUCUUCACUGAAAUGUGAAUGAUCU
rnacentral:misc_RNA from 1 species